CCCUUAGAUGUCCUGGGCCGCACGCGCGCUACACUGAUGCAUGCAACGAGUUUAUAACCUUGGCCUGAAAGGUCUGGGUAAUCUUUUAAACGUGCAUCGUGAUAGGGAUAGAUUAUUGCAAUUGUUAAUCUUGAACGAGGAAUUCCUAGUAAACGCGAGUCAUCAGCUCGCAUUGAUUACGUCCCUGCCCUUUGUACACACCGCCCGUCGCACCUACCGAUUGAAUGGUUCGGUGAAGAUCUCGGACUUCGAUAUUUAUUCUUUAUUGAGUUUAUAUUGUGGGAAGUUAUCUAAACCUCAUCAUUUAGAGGAAGGUGAAGUCGUAACA
rnacentral:rRNA from 1 species